rnacentral:rRNA from 1 species
UACGGAGGGAGCUGGCGUUGUUCGGAAUUACUGGGCGUAAAGCGCGCGUAGGCGGCUUUGUAAGUUAGAGGUGAAAGCCCGGGGCUCAACUCCGGAACUGCCUUUAAGACUGCAUCGCUUGAAUCCGGGAGAGGUGAGUGGAAUUCCGAGUGUAGAGGUGAAAUUCGUAGAUAUUCGGAAGAACACCAGUGGCGAAGGCGGCUCACUGGACCGGUAUUGACGCUGAGGUGCGAAAGCGUGGGGAGCAAACAGG